UUAUGCACUCUAGGUGUGCGUGGAGACUACAGAGGUCCACAAAGGGGUGUCAGAUCUUCUGGAACCGGAGUUAUAGAUGGUUGUGAGCCACCAUUUUCAGGGCAUCGGCGUCAAUGUAUGAAAUGUGGGGAACAUAAUACCGUAGCAGAAUUAUCAGGAUAAUCAAGGAGCUGUUUGUCCUGAAUUUACCCUACGUGAAUGUUCUUCAAUUCUGGUAGCAGUUUUCAAUGGAGGAAGAAGAGUGCUGAACAAAACAAGUCUCUGACCUCGGCGCGUACGUGUAAUCGGCAGAAGAGACAGACAAUGAGCAAGCAAGCAGACGGCUAUGUGCUUAGUGCUGUGUGGAAGAUGAGGGGGACUGCCACAGAGCAGCAAGGAAGGGGCUCCGUGGAGAUGCACACGGGGCAAAGGUGGCUGAGUCACGCUCAGGCUGAGGCCUCACCGGUGCGGGGCCGGCCUUCUACAGGCUCGGGAAAAGCAACGGGGACUGAUGGUGAAGGAUGAACAGAGGCCUUAGGGCAAAGGAAAGCUUGGCAUUUGGAGGAGUUAAAGGCUGGUGGGGCAGGCGUGUGGUAAGCACGUGGCAGGACUGCAGUAGGGAGGAAGGAGAAACGGACAGGGCCAGAUCCCAUAGACACAGGGAGGAUUUAUAUCUUUCUUCAA